rnacentral:tRNA from 1 species
GGAGAGAUGUCCGAGCUGGCUUAAGGAGCGCGCCUGGAAAGCGCGUGGGCCUUUUUGGCCUCCUGGGUUCGAAUCCCAGUCUCUCCG